CAUAAAUAGUUAUUAGUCCCCUACCGGUUUAACCGGAGGGGACUUUAGGUUUACCCUCCGUCCGUCUGUCCGUCUGUCUGUCUGUCCGUCUGUCUGUCCGUCUGUCUGUCUGUCUGUCAGUCCGUCAGUCCGUCCGUCCACAAAACUGGAUCCCGCGAUAACGCAAAAAGUACUGAAAAUAUUUUUAUGAAACUUGAUAUAUGGAUAGAUGGCAGUAUGGAGAUUAUGCACGUCUUUUUUUUUUCUUCCUAUGUUGAAAAUUCUGGUUGCUAUGGCAACAAAUAGUCUGAAAAUAUGGCAAAUUUAACACAUAAACUGGAUCCAGUGAUAACUCAAAAAGUACUGAAAAUAUUUUUAUGAAACUUGAAAUAUGGGUAGAUGGCAGUCUGGAGAUUAUGCACAUCUUUUUCUUUUCUUCCUAUGUUGAAAAUUCUGGUUGCUAUGGCAACAAAUAGUCUGAAUUUCAAGAUUUCUGAUUUAAAUUUUUCAGCUUUUUCACUAUAUGUUCUUUAUUUCUUAAGGUGUUUACUUCAAACUUUAAAUAUAAGUUUCUGGUCAUCAACCACAUCAUAUGUGACAAGGUUUAUAACUCUAGCACAAAAAAUAUCAGUAUUACCUCCCUUGAACUUAGAUUUUUUAGGGGAAAAAAUGUUGUCUUUUUAGCUCGACUUUUCUAUGAAAAGGGGAGCUAUCCUACUCGCCCCGGCGUCGGCGUCGGCGUUAGCGUCGGCGUUGGCGUCACACCUUGGUUAAGUUUUUCGUACCACCCCACUUUAUUUCAGAAGUAUUACAAGUAUGGCUUUGAAACUUACCAUACUUGUUCACCAUCAUAACCUCCAUCUACAGACAAGAGUACAUAACUCUGUCAAGGUUUUUGACAGAAUUAUGGCCCUUUUUUGACUUAGAAAGUGUAUUGAGCUUGGUUAAGUUUUUUGUACCACCUCACUUUAUUUCAAAACCAUUGGAGGUAUUGCUUUGAAACUGACCAUACUUGUUUACCAUCACGACCUUCAUCAACAGACAAGAGGACAUAACUCUGUCAAGGUUUUUGACAGAAUUAUGCCCCUUUUUGACUUAGAAAAUACAUUGAAUAUGGGUAAAAUCCACUUAUUGCCUUAACCCUUUGAGAUAUUGCUUUGAAACUUUUAAUGCUAUUUCACAUCAUUACCCCCAUCUGUACGCAAGAGAAGGUAACUCUGUCAAGGAUUUGUUUUAAAAAUUAAGGCCUUUUAUCGACUUAGAAUCUUGGUUAAGUUUUUAGUACCAGUCCACUUUUUGACUGAACUGUUUGAGAUAUCAAUUUGAAAGUUGGAAUACUUGUUUACAAUCAUGAUUCCCAAACAUGUCCAGGAGAAGGUAAUUCUGUCAAAGAUUUUAUUUGAAUUAUGGCCCUUAACUGUCAAUGUUUUGUAUUAUAGGCAAGCACUAAAAAACUCAACUCAGUUUUUUUUUCUUUCUUACCAGCCCUCUUUUGACUUAAACAUUUCAAACUUUGCUGCAGUGUUCAAGGGUAUCACACAAUUCAGUAAAAUAAUUCUUCACUAAAUAUCUUAAUGCUCAUGGCCAUUGUUCACUUUAAAAAUACAGAGAUUCUUGUAUUGCCUUUUACUGCAAAAACUUUUUUUAUUGGCAAGCAAUAAAAAAGUCGAGCGCGCUGUCUUACGGACAGCUCUUGUUUAAAUAACUUCUUUAUUUCCUAACGUAUCUACUUCAAACUUCAUAUAUAUGUUUCUUAUUAUCACUCGACAUUUUUGAGAAGGUUAAAUACUCUAGCAAGACUAUUUCCAGAAUUAUGUCCCCUUUGAACUUAGAUUUUUUUCGAGAAAUUGGUAUUUUCACUCCAACUUCUUCAUUCCUUAUAGGAUUUACUUUAAAAUCCCACAUCGUAAUAAUAUGACAAGGUUGUAUAAACAUAAUUUCCUUACUAAGCAUGGAAACUUAACACAUUACUGUGAUAUAGACAAACUUAUUUUAUUAUGUUUUGUGGUUGAUAUUUUCAAAUACAGACUUCAUCCUCAAAUUCAUUAUAAAUGGCAAUACACAGGAGUGUAUGACAAUUAAAGAACUUUUUGAGGGACCGGUAGGGGACUACUGUAUUGCCCGCAAUACUAUCAAAUGCUUGUUUAUUGUCCUUUUAAUAUAUAAUUAUGUACAAUUAAUGUGUAAAAUAUGUAUGCUUGAUACUUUCUUAUAAUUAAGAUAAAUAAAUACUGCAUCCACUAAGUUUUCACACACAGAAUAUAACACACUGAUCAGAUAAAACUAAUGGCACCCCAGGUGGUUCCCUCUUAUAAUCUAUGCAUGAUCAAUCUUCUCAUUGAGCAUUCUGGGAUAGACCAGAUUGUUCCAUGUGAUUAUUCAGGGGGAGUCUGGGUUUUUAUACAAUCCAAAACAGUCUAAAAUGACACUGCAACUGUGAUUCUCUUAUAAUUUUCAAGUUUUACUUUUAUUUAUCAUUUGAUAUGUUUGUACCUUCAAUAAAAUUAAUGUAAAAAUAAAAUGAUGAUGGCUUUGAUAUUUUGGGAUCACCCCUGUUUCACAUUAUGAUUGCCCCUUCAGUUAUACUGUUGAAAAAUUUGAAUCUCAGACAUUAAUGGGUCAAGUGGUUAUAGUUGGAAGUAGUGCAAACCUGGAUUUAUUUUAAGCAAUUUUGGACAUAUCUUGUUUUAAAUGUUAGGGAGCAUAUUUUGGAAUUUUUAAAGAAAACAUUUAUCUAAGUGUUACAAGAUUCAGGAAAUGUUUGGUUGUUGUAAUUGAACCUAAAGAUCAAUGACCUGGGACAGGAAGAUAAACAAAAGAAACAUGAUAGUAAAAAGGUUCAGAGUCAGCUUGUAAGCAAGUUUGCAAGACUGUUCCAAACUACAAGAAGAUGGCAAUCCAGCUUUGCUGUGUUUUAUCAUAGUAUAUCAUUGGCAUCCAGGCAUCGAUUAAGGAAGCCAACUGUAGACCAGGAAAGGCUUCAAGGAAUAUACUACAGAAUUGUAUCCUGGAGCAUUUUCCACAUGUGACCCCUGUGAUGGUGAGGGAAAAACUAAGGGACAUUUAAAAAUCAUGAAGAGUGAACAGGAAUUCAAAAGAUAGAUAUUUGAAUACAUUAAAAUUUAACCGGAUACCAAAAAAUUAUAACUGAACAUUGAGUGUAAUAUUUACCAUUAAAAACUUCUAACUUAACUUUUCAUUUGUAGUGCAUUACUAUUUACUUCACACUGACAUUAAAUGUUUAAGUGAGUCAUGUGAUCAUUUUUUGCUCUGUAUUAUUACAAAGAAGUUUCUUAAUUCCUUAAAAGGACAAUAUAAUUGCUCUUUUCAGAAUAUUUCAUUGGAUGUUAUAUUUUCUGAUUUUCCAUGGAUAUUCUAGAAAUUUCCAAGGUUUUUGCUCAAAUAAACUUUGGAAAAUUCUCUGAUGCCCUUAAGUAAGAAUCCUCGAAAAUAUAACAGUAUUCCCAGUUGUGAGAAACUUUCCGAGGUUUUCAUUUAAAAAACCUUGGAAAACAAACCACGGAAACACUUUAAAAAUCCUUGGAAAUCGUUCCAAUACUCCGAGGUCUUACUUUUUACGAGGUUUUUUUUAAAAAAAACUCGGAAAUUUUUUUCCAAGGUUUUUCACCCUCUCCCUAUUUUUCCAAGGUUUUUUUAUUAGCAAAGUUUUGCAUUUUCUUGUUCCAAUACUCCGAGGUUUUUUUCCAAGGAUUUUGAGCCAAAAACCUUGGAAAAUCUACACCCGG